rnacentral:rRNA from 1 species
GUCCACGCAGUAAACGAUGUAAACUGGCUGUGUGUAGGGCUUAAUCCUAUGCGUAGCGAAGCUAACGCGUUAAGUUUACCGCCUGGGGAGUACGGUCGCAAGAUUAAAACUCAAAGGAAUUGACGGGGGCCCGCACAAGCGGUGGAGCAUGUGGUUUAAUUCGAUGCAACUCGAAAACCUUACCUACCCUUGACAUCCUGAGAAUUUUGCCGAGAGGUGAAAGUGCCGAAAGGAGCUCAGAGACAGGUGCUGCAUGGCUGUCGU